rnacentral:rRNA from 1 species
UACGGGGGGGGGCAAGCGUUGUUCGGAUUUACUGGGCGUAAAGGGCUCGUAGGUGGCCAAUUAAGUCGGACGUGAAAUCCCCAGGCUCAACUUGGGAACUGCGUCUGAUACUGGUUGGCUUGAAUUCGGGGAGAGGGAUGCAGAAUUCCAGGUGUAGCGGUGAAAUGCGUAGAUAUCUGGAGGAAUACCGAUGGCGAAGGCAGGUCUCUGGGCUGACACUGACGCUCAUGCACGAAAGCGUGGGGAGCAAACAGG